ensembl:lncRNA
UUAGCAGCAUCCUCAUUUCAGAUCACAACAUGAUGUUCUCUCUUAUUCCAUUUCGAUGUCCAAAUGCUCCAGGAACCAGGUCUGUCCGCACACAUCAGUAUCCCACAGCUAGCAGGUCAGAGCGUUUUACUUGAGAGCUUUAAGCUGAACAGUGUGUGUUUAGGACUCGUAGGUUAUUUUAACCUUUAAGGUCACAUUUGAACUACAGGAGAACAUUGAUGCAAAUGUAUUGGAUUUUGCUAGGCUUCAGGUAAGUCACUCUGAUUCGACACGUUGACCAACAGAAAGCUGGUUUCUGGUUAAACUGUGUUAAACUGUAACAUUUUUCAGUUUAUUUUUCUAUAGCGAUACACUACGAAAUAAUAUUAUAUAAAGUAUUUUUUACAACAAAUUCACGAAAUAAUAUAAUAUAUGGUUCAUUAAUGUUCAUCAAAUUCUGUCACUUUUGUUGAGAUCCAUACAGUAAGUGUUUUUGUAGCAGAUAAAUACUGAUUCUGAUUUCUUUUUAUCAAUGUUGAAAACAGGUGUGCUGCUUAAUAAUUUUGUGGAAACUGUGAUAUAUUUUCUUCCUUACAUUCAGGAUACUUUGAUGAAUAGAAAGUUGAAAUGAACUGCAUUUAUUUUAAUCUUUGGUGUUGGUGUUGCAGAGGAGGACUGGUCCAGACUAGUAGUGCUAUCUCCUCUCUUCCAGCUGAUGAAGGAAGUGGAGCAGCAGCUCAGGGAUAGUGCCAGAGAUAGAGGCCUUCUCAAGAUCCAGCCCUCGGGUCAGGCUCUAAUUAUCACCACUGAAAUGUGCAAUCUGGACUCGUCAGACCUGCAAAGUCAUUAGUGCAGCAACAGAUGACUUAAAGCCAUGAGAACCAUCACGUACAUGUGCAGGCCUGUCAUUCGUGGAUUUCAUGGAUGCUCAGUAGGAGUGUGAGGGAGAGCUGGAUCAAGUCAACUCUGAAACACUCAAUCCACGACAGCUUCUGCUCUACUAGCAUGGACAGUUUCUCCUCCAGCAUCUUCACUUACAUAAAAUAUAACAGCAGUACCCCUUCAACUGGCUUCUACUCUUCGUUUCGUGACUACCAUAACAAACUCUUUCUAUUAUCAGGAGGGACAGAAGACCCUGUUUGUUCACUGUCAGAGGUUGCAGUCAGUGGGAGGCCUCUCUCUGCUGCUAAUGCACUGUGCUCCACACAUUUCCACUGGUCAGAUGAGGACAGACUCCACUCCCACCUUCCAAAGGGCCUUAUUCAAAGUGCAGUUAGCAAUGCCAGCACAGCCUGAACAAACCAAGAAAGAAUGUGCUAAUGAGUCUUUCUUAUAGACAUCAUCCCCUGUCCCAUUAUGCAGGUUUUACAGGUGGGCCUAAGUGAGCUGUUCCAUGCCAGACUGGGACAAACUGAUGACGAGAGGACAAAAGAUUUGGCAUCUGACGCAGCUCUCAAUAGUCUUCUGCUGGAAAGAGUGCAGAAGCCAAGUCCUGGGGUUUUCUCAGAGGAUGGAAGUUUGAUUUAUUUCGCCAUAUUCACCCCUCGUGUUCUCAGUAGCUGUUGCCAAGUAAUUCACAGGGAUGUAACAGAUGCCGUAGGAUCAGACUGAUGUGGCAUAACUAAUACUUGUCGGAGUGUGAGAUUUCGAAUGUGUGCUGUUCUCUGGGCAGGAGGUUUUGGGACGUCUGCGCAAAUACAGAGAGGCCUCAGUGUUCCACCAGGUGGAGAGUCUCCUGAAAGUGUCUCCUAAGAGCAUAAAGAUCAAGCACCUCAACACUGACCCGUCACUCAGCGAUGGCCCAGACAGCCAAGAUGCCGCUCCUCCAUGAACUGACAAUUUAACUUUGAACAGUGCUGCCUUUCUGACAGUGAUAAAUCCAGCUUUCAAAGGCAUUUUUUUUAGGCUGCGAGGUAGCGGAUGGCCUUAUCGUCUUGAAUGUUAAUGGCUCCUGGACUGGGUUAGAGCAUCUAGUUUUGCUUCCGGUGGUGACUCAGCACAGCUAGAACAAAAGUUUUAUAAAAUGGCUAUAAGAAAACACAUUAAAAUUGACAUAAAACUGCAUAGGUCCAACAAGCAGGCCUCUGUUUAAUGCAGUUUUAAUGUAAUUUUUGAGGAUAAGGGCAUGUUACACAAUUUGACCAUGUUGGUAUCUACCUAAUCUGACUAGCUUCCACCAAAUGACACAAAUUUGCACCAGAAUAGUUAUGCCGGUGAACCUCUUAACCUCAGUCAAUUUACUGUGGAGAAAGUGAAAGUAAAAAAUGGACAGAGCUUUCUAACGCUGCAUUAACGGUGCAUAUUCUGUCAGAGAUUAUAAAUUAAUGUAUAUAACGGUCUUAAAUUAUUCCCUUAAUAUUUCUCUUGUGGCCCUUGAAAAACAUGAGAAGAAAUGUACUGUUUUGCGUUAAACAUGUUAUUUUUGAAAAUUGGUGCAUGAAACAGCUGCUCUUAAUUUUCACUGAGGACAGCAGUGUUAAUCAUUUAAUUAUAGGUCUAUAAUUCAUUAUAAAAAAAACCUUUUCAAAAAAAAAAUUCAGUGAAGGAGUAAGCUAAUAAACUUAUCUUUUAUUAUCCUCA